rnacentral:lncRNA from 1 species
CCUCUUGCAACUCUAUCACUUGACCUAUAACAAGUUAUUCAGAGGUUAAUAAAUGACAAACCAAAUAAAAAUGUAUUGGUUUCACAGAAAAAAAGCAUUGACUUAGCAUUUCUUUCAGCCAGCUAGAAGUAAUAUUAUUGAGACCCAGUCAACUUUGUUUUCAUACACCAGAGUUGGCUAUGGUCUAAUCUUUCACAGACUGAGGUUAAUGUUCAGUUUUUUGUUUGGUCGGUUGGUUGGUUUUGAGAUAAGGUCUUGCUCUGUCACCCAGGCUGCAGUGCAGCGGCACAACCACUGCUCACUACAGCCUCGACCUCCCAGGCUCAAGCAAUCUUCCCAUCUCACCCUCCCAACUAGCUGGAACUACAGAUGUGUGCCACCAGGCCCAGAAAGCUGCUUACUUUGA